rnacentral:pre_miRNA from 1 species
AGGAGAAACAGCCCCAGUGGCGGGGCAGCUCUGGAAACCUGGAUUCAGCUCCGGCAGGAACUCCGGAGGUCUCCGUCUGCAGGGCCUGGAGGCUCCCGGGCGGG